CAGUAGCCGCGGUAAUACGGAGGGAGCUAGCGUUGUUCGGAAUUACUGGGCGUAAAGCGCACGUAGGCGGCUUUGUAAGUUAGAGGUGAAAGCCUGGAGCUCAACUCCAGAAUUGCCUUUAAGACUGCAUCGCUUGAAUCCAGGAGAGGUGAGUGGAAUUCCGAGUGUAGAGGUGAAAUUCGUAGAUAUUCGGAAGAACACCAGUGGCGAAGGCGGCUCACUGGACUGGUAUUGACGCUGAGGUGCGAAAGCGUGGGGAGCAAACAGGAUUAGAUACCCCUGUAGUCCCUGUCUCUUAUAC
rnacentral:rRNA from 1 species